UGGUGAAGUUGUUUAUCAUCUUAAGGAGAUUGUGGGCUGAGACGAUGGGGUUUUCUAGAUAUACAAUCAUGUCAUCUGCAAACAGGGACAAUUUGACUUCCU